AACCUAAGGGUAAUGUGUGAGAAAAACUGUGGUCUUCUUAUCUGCUCCUUGUGGAAAUACUUAGUUUGUACUGAAAUCCCUGAUAAGUUCUUCUGGAUGCAUUCUGAAACAAAAGUCUGGCAGCAGUAACUGGAACCAGAUUGUCCAAAGCACAUACAUCCCAACUCCCUCCAACAUGGAAUCAUAACACAGCCACAUUUCGAGAGUUUCAAGUUUCAAUUGGAAGUAGUCUACAGACGAGCAGUUUGGAGAAGCUGACAUCUUUUAUAUAAUGUUAUGGAGAAAAAUAUAAGUGUGUUCUCAGAAACAACCAGCCUUGAAGGCUACAAGUGACAAGAAAGAUUCUGUUUCAAAUAUAGCCACAGAAAUAAAUGAUGGACAAAAAUCUGGGACAGUGUCUUCUCAGAAACAACCGGCCUUGAAGGAUACAAGUGACAAGAAAGACUCUGUUUCGAACAUAGCUACAGAACUAAAAGAUGAACAAAAUUCUGGGACAGUGUCUUCUCAGAAACAACCGGCCUUGAAGGAUACAAGUGACAAGAAAGAUUCUGUUUUGAACAUAGCCACAGAACUAAAAGAUGAACAAAAAU